CCUGGCGGCUUAGAGGGUAAAGCGUCUGCCUGCAAUGCGGGAGACCUGGGUUUGAUCCCUGGGUCAGGA
rnacentral:tRNA from 1 species